rnacentral:rRNA from 1 species
CGCUGACGACCGGCGCACGGGUGCGCACCGCGUAUGGAACCUACCUUGUACAGGGGAAUAGCCCAGGGAAACUUGGAUUAAUGCCCCGUGGUACCAUGACCCGGCAUCGGGAUAUGGUUAAAGCCUUCGGGCGGUACAAGAUGGCCAUGCGUCCCAUUAGUUUGUUGGUAAGGUAACGGCUUACCAAGACUACGAUGGGUAGGGGCCCUGAGAGGGGGAUCCCCCACACUGGUACUGAGACACGGACCAGACUCCUACGGGAGGCAGCAGUGAGGAAUAUUGGACAAUGGAGGAGACUCUGAUCCAGCCAUGCCGCGUGCAGGAAGAAUGCCCUAUGGGUAGUAAACUGCUUUUAUACGGGAAGAAAAAGAGCUACGUGUAGCUUACUGACGGUACCGUAAGAAUAAGGACCGGCUAACUCCGUGCCAGCAGCCGCGGUAAUACGGAGGGUCCGAGCGUUAUCCGGAAUUAUUGGGUUUAAAGGGUCCGUAGGCGGGCCGAUAAGUCAGGGGUGAAAGUCUGCCGCUCAACGGUAGAACUGCCUUUGAUACUGUCGGUCUUGAGUUAUAGUGAAGUUGCCGGAAUAUGUAGUGUAGCGG